GGGGUUGUGGCUCAGUGGCAGAGCGCUUGCCUAGCAUGUGUGAGGCCCUGGGUUCGGUCCCCAGCACCA
rnacentral:tRNA from 1 species